CUAAAGGACCUUCUGUACUUUAUACAGGAGAUGACAGUAAACUUUCAAGUUUAAGAGGUAAAAUGUUCAGGGUUUUUCUGUUUGAUUUUGAGUGUUUUGUAGAUAUAAGGUUCACUGAUAUAGGAUAUAAGAUUUGCUGUAUGUUUAUGCUGUCAUUUUGGUUAUAAGUACAAGAACUCAGGCAGUUGUGCUGGACCAUCUGUACUUCAUACAGGGGAUGACAGUAAACUGCAAAGUUUAAGAGCCACCUGAUGAUGAGAAAGACAUUAUCAAUGUAGGCAUCUUGAUGAAGAAGAGUCCACAGCCACAAUAACAAGAUCAUUGAGCUGUCCCCUAAUUGUGGUCAGCUACAUGUUUAGUCUCUUAUGUGCUAAACAUUAUGUAGCCUAAGGAAGCAGCCCUGACUCUGUAGUUUAUAUGAAGGAGCAUGCUGAGUAACUAUCCAGAAAGUAGGUCCAAAGCAGAAAAAAGGGCACCAAGCAGAAACAUACCAUCUAAACUCCUUCGAUUCCUGUCAGACCAGAAAGACUUUCAGAAUCCUUGGAAGAUUUAAAGCCAUUGAAGUAUCAGUAUUGGAGAGGAAGAAGACCCAGUUGUAUCGUCUGUUUCCUGCCAUCUUGCAGUUAACCUGGUUUCUUAAUGUAAAGUACUUGUAAUUUGCCCACUUGCCCUUAAUUAUCUUAAAGCUAACAUUUAAAACUAAUUUGCUAUGAGAUUAUUUGCCAAGACUUCUCACGGUGCGAUUCACAUGUCAAUAUGUAUUAUUGUGUGUAUAACUAGCUAUUUGGAAUUCAAAUGAUUUGUAUUCAUUAAAGAAUCUGUUUUAAUUGCAAAGUUGUUUUUGUACUAAUCAUUGCAAG